UACGUAGGGGGCAAGCGUUGUCCGGAUUUAUUGGGCGUAAAGAGCUCGUAGGUGGUUCGGUAAGUCGGAUGUGAAAUCUCCAGGCUCAACCUGGAGGGGUCAUUCGAUACUGCGGGUCUCGAGUCCGGGAGAGGUGAGUGGAAUUCCUAGUGUAGAGGUGAAAUUCGUAGAUAUUAGGAAGAACACCAGUGGCGAAGGCGGCUCACUGGCCCGGUACUGACGCUGAGGCGCGAAAGCGUGGGGAGCAAACAGGG
rnacentral:rRNA from 1 species